rnacentral:rRNA from 1 species
CAGUCGCCGCGGUAAGACAGAGGAUGCAAGCGUUAUACGGAAUGAUUGGGCGUAAAGCGUCUGUAGGUGGCUUUUCAAGUCCGCCGUCAAAUCCCAGGGCUCAACCUUGGACAGGCGGUGGAAACUACCAAGCUGGAGUAAGGUAGGGGCAGAGGGAAUUUCUGGUGGAGCGGUGAAAUGCGUUGAGAUCGAAAAGAACACCAACGGCGAAAGCACUUUGCUGGGCCGACACUGACACUGAGAGACGAAAGCUAGGGGAGCAAAUGGGAUUAGAUACCCCGGUAGUCCCUGUCUCUUAUAA